rnacentral:pre_miRNA from 1 species
UUAGUUCCUGAUCCAAAGCCCAUUAAAGCCAAUGGGAGUCUUUCCAUUUUCUUCAGUGGGAUUUGGAUCAGGCCUUAAA